rnacentral:rRNA from 1 species
CCUACGGGAGGCAGCAGUAGGGAAUAUUGGACAAUGGGCGCAAGCCUGAUCCAGCCAUCCCGCGUGAAGGAUUAAGGCCCUCUGGGUUGUAAACUUCUUUUCUCUGGGAAUAAAAACCGGUAUUCAUACUGGCUUGAAGGUACCAGAGGAAUAAGCACCGGCUAACUCCGUGCCAGCAGCCGCGGUAAUACGGAGGGUGCAAGCGUUAUCCGGAUUCACUGGGUUUAAAGGGUGCGUAGGUGGCUUUGUAAGUCAGUGGUGAAAUGCCGCAGCUCAACUGCGGAACUGCCAUUGAUACUGCUUAGCUUGAAUCACGUCGAGGUGGAUGGAAUAAUACAUGUAGCGGUGAAAUGCUUAGAUAUGUAUUAGGACACCGAUUGCGAAGGCAGUUCACUAGGCGUGUAUUGACACUGAGGCACGAAAGCGUGGGGAUCAAACAGGAUUAGAUACCCUGGUAGUCCACGCCCUAAACGAUGUAAACUCGACAUUAGCGAUAUACUGUUAGUGUCCAAGCGAAAGCGUUAAGUUUACCACCUGGAAGUACGACCGCAAGGUUGAAACGUCAAAGUGAAUUGACGG